CUAUUGGCCAAACCAAAAAAUAAAGAAGAGAAAAAAAAAAAUUAUUUGGAUCGAAUUUCAUUUCUUUGUUCUCUCUCUUUCUCUCGCGAUUGAAAACCCGAAAAGACAAAGAUUUGUAUUUGAAAUCGAAGGGUGUUGAGGAAGAGGAGAUUGCGGUCGGAGGAGAUGCGUAACGGAGGCGAAGUAAUGACUCGUCCUGUCACCGUUAACUCUUCAAUCUUUUUCUCUGAAUUCUCAGAUCUCUGAGAAUUUCCCAAUCUCCGGUGGAAUCAGAUUCCCUCUGUAUCCAGGCCAAUUCGGAUCCGAUCGAGAGUUUGGGGUUCUUGGGUCACAACCAACAACGCAGGAGAGUAACAAGAGUUCUUUGUUGGAUCCAGAUUCAGUUUCUGAUCGAUUUCACACCACCAAAUCUAACUCCAGGAAGAGGAAAUCGAUACCUACUGGUAAUGGCAAGGAGUGUCCAGCUUCUUCGUCUCUUACAGCUUCCAAUUCCAAGGUUUCAGGAGAGAAUGGCGAAUCGUGGUGGAAAGCUUGUGGUUUUGUGGGAAGGUAAAGCGGGUAGUGGCGGUUCUAGGAGAAUGGAGAUUUGGGGGAAGAUUGACUGGUCUGGUACUGUCCUUACGGUUCCUAAUGAAUGAAUUGCUUGGCAGCUACAGUUUGAUGAUGAUGCAUCCAUACAUGUUUAACGUCUCCGAAUCAACAUCAUCUAUCAUGCUUUACCGCACAAGCCUGCUUUGAUUCAGUGUGAUUAGUUCUGUUAUGUUUGUCUGUUAAUAGCUAUUAUUGUGAAUCACAAUUUGUGAUGAGCAUAGUGACUUACUACACUGCUUCGCCAGAAAUGGUGGAUCAGCAAAGAAUAUACUUUGGCCUGAGUCCAUGAGGCCCUGAGCUUAUAUGAAACAACUCACCAGUGUAAUGAAGUUUAUAAAUUUGCUUCUGAACUUUUUAGGGGUUUAAUCAACCCUCUUCUGCACGUUCUUGUUCGUUUCUUUUGUUGUAUUCCAUGAGAAAGCUACUUUCAGAUUUGAAUAAUACCAGUAAAAACUGUGCACGUACA